GAUUAAGUUAUUAAGGGCGCACGGUGGAUGCCUUGGCACUAGAAGCCGAUGAAGGACGUUACUAACGACGAUAUGCUUUGGGGAGCUGUAAGUAAGCUUUGAUCCAGAGAUUUCCGAAUGGGGAAACCCAGCAUGAGUUAUGUCAUGUUAUCGAUAUGUGAAUACAUAGCAUAUCAGAAGGCACACCCGGAGAACUGAAACAUCUUAGUACCCGGAGGAAGAGAAAGAAAAUUCGAUUCCCUUAGUAGCGGCGAGCGAAACGGGAAGAGCCCAAACCAACAAGCUUGCUUGUUGGGGUUGUAGGACACUCUAUACGGAGUUACAAAGGACGACAUUAGACGAAUCAUCUGGAAAGAUGAAUCAAAGAAGGUAAUAAUCCUGUAGUCGAAAAUGUUGUCUCUCUUGAGUGGAUCCUGAGUACGACGGAGCACGUGAAAUUCCGUCGGAAUCUGGGAGGACCAUCUCCUAAGGC
rnacentral:rRNA from 1 species